rnacentral:rRNA from 1 species
AAUACGUUCCCGGGCCUUGUACACACCGCCCGUCAAGCCAUGGAAGCUGGGGGUGCCUGAAGUCGGUGACCGCAAGGGGCUGCCUAGGGUAAAACUAGUAACUAGGGCU